CGAACGGGUGAGUACACUACGUGGGUGAUCUGCCCUGCACUUCGGGAUAAGCCUGGGAAACUGGGUCUAAUACCGGAUAUGACUUCAGGUUGCAUGACUUGGGGUGGAAAGAUUUAUCGGUGCAGGAUGGGCCCGCGGCCUAUCAGCUUGUUGGUGGGGUAAUGGCCUACCAAGGCGACGACGGGUAGCCGACCUGAGAGGGUGACCGGCCACACUGGGACUGAGACACGGCCCAGACUCCUACGGGAGGCAGCAGUGGGGAAUAUUGCACAAUGGGCGAAAGCCUGAUGCAGCGACGCCGCGUGAGGGAUGACGGCCUUCGGGUUGUAAACCUCUUUCAGCAGGGACGAAGCGCAAGUGACGGUACCUGCAGAAGAAGCACCGGCUAACUACGUGCCAGCAGCCGCGGUAAUACGUAGGGUGCAAGCGUUGUCCGGAAUUACUGGGCGUAAAGAGUUCGUAGGCGGUUUGUCGCGUCGUUUGUGAAAACCAGCAGCUCAACUGCUGGCUUGCAGGCGAUACGGGCAGACUUGAGUACUGCAGGGGAGACUGGAAUUCCUGGUGUAGCGGUGAAAUGCGCAGAUAUCAGGAGGAACACCGGUGGCGAAGGCGGGUCUCUGGGCAGUAACUGACGCUGAGGAACGAAAGCGUGGGUAGCGAACAGGAUUAGAUACCCUGGUAGUCCACGCCGUAAACGGUGGGCGCUAGGUGUGGGUUCCUUCCACGGAAUCCGUGCCGUAGCUAACGCAUUAAGCGCCCCGCCUGGG
rnacentral:rRNA from 1 species